AAAAAUCGAUCGAUAUCCGUUGUUAUUACUGCUUAUUGUACCCAGGUUAUUGUUUUAGCUUGUUUUUUUUUUUCUUUCGUUUCGUUAUCGACAAGUGAAGAAGCUGAGAAGAGUUGAGAACCUAAAAGAGUGCAUAAGUCGCAUGCUCGUUGCCGGGUGUGGUGUGAGAAGAGAAGAGAGGAGUGGAAAAAUUAGCAAGGCAUAUUUAAAAAUAUAUAUAUGUAUAUGUAUGUACACACAUACUAAUGUUGAAAUGUAUGUACAUUGAUUUCAAUAAAAAUCGCUAAUAUUAAUGAAUUUGUUGUUGCUGCACGCGAAGGAAACAUUGAAACUCUUGAGUAUAAAAAUAAACCAAACAAAUCGACGCCACCGUCGUUAGCACAGCUAGCAACAAGAGAGAGAGAGAGAGAGCAUCGAAGCAGCAUCGCAUCAUCGAAGCAAAAAGAGAGAGAGAGAGAGAGAGAGCAAGUACUUCAGCAUCCGCCCCAAAGGCCCCCACAACAAACACACAUCCUCUCUUCAGCCUUUGCUCUUUGGGCGUCGUCGAUAUUCACGUAUACGUUUUGUUUACGCUAGGAACGACACACCCUGUGCUUAAAAAAAAAAGGAAAGGCCAGUCCUCAGCCAUCCGCCUGCUUCCCGCCCCUCUCAGCCCUAAAGUUGCGUGUGCAUUGCGUGAGCAAGUGCCCGCUUGUCUGGCGCCUUAUCGUCCACAACAACAGCUACAAGAAAAACAUCAACGAUUAUUGAGCGGGACCGCUCCUGCAACACAUUCACAAGGCAACGACAACACGCUAUUGCCAUUGACAUUGCCUGUUCCUCUUCCUUGUUUUUGACAGCAGCCAUUAGCGUUUUAUGUGACCAACAGCAUGAAAUGACUGCCUCAUCAGUGUCCGUGACGGUUUCGAAUCCAAGCGAAUUAACAACGGCAACAGCCAAGGGCAACAGUUGAAGAAGUCAACAAUAACAACAACAAAAAACAACAACAACAACAACAAUAAGUGGGUGUUGUUUUGCAACAAAACGAAAAGAAAAGAAACGAAACGAAAUACCGCAAGAGUUUGCAUUCUUUGAAGAGCAUAGCUUAAGAAAACACACAAAUAAAGAAAGAUACAGUUCGAAACGAUCUGAAGGAUACAAUCUAUAAAACGGAAGAUAGAUAGAACUUCCGUUGAGCUGGCACAAAACUCUCUGAUUCAUUCAGGCACAAAGACACGAACAAACACAGCGU